AUGAACGCAGCGGGAGAGACUGCCGGUUAUUAAGGCGGCGCCGAAGGAGUAACCUUGAUGGGCUCAAGGGAAUCUCUCAGGCAAAAGGACCUUUGCGGGACG
rnacentral:ncRNA from 2 species